rnacentral:rRNA from 1 species
GGGUUGUGAGGUUAAGCGACUAAGUGUACACGGUGGAUGCCCUGGCAGUCAGAGGCGAUGAAGGACGUGCUAAUCUGCGAUAAGCGUCGGUAAGGUGAUAUGAACCGUUAUAACCGGCGAUUUCCGAAUGGGGAAACCCAGUGUGUUUCGACACACUAUCAUUAACUGAAUCCAUAGGUUAAUGAGGCGAACCGGGGGAACUGAAACAUCUAAGUACCCCGAGGAAAAGAAAUCAACCGAGAUUCCCCCAGUAGCGGCGAGCGAACGGGGAGGAGCCCAGAGCCUGAAUCAGUGUGUGUGUUAGUGGAAGCGUCUGGAAAGGCGCGCGAUACAGGGUGACAGCCCCGUACACAAAAAUACACAUAUUGUGAGCUCGAUGAGUAGGGCGGGACACGUGGUAUCCUGUCUGAAUAUGGGGGGACCAUCCUCCAAGGCUAAAUACUCCUGACUGACCGAUAGUGAACCAGUACCGUGAGGGAAAGGCGAAAAGAACCCCGGCGAGGGGAGUGAAAAAGAACCUGAAACCGUGUACGUACAAGCAGUGGGAGCACGCUUAGGCGUGUGACUGCGUACCUUUUGUAUAAUGGGUCAGCGACUUAUAUUCUGUAGCAAGGUUAACCGAAUAGGGGAGCCGAAGGGAAACCGAGUCUUAACUGGGCGUUAAGUUGCAGGGUAUAGACCCGAAACCCGGUGAUCUAGCCAUGGGCAGGUUGAAGGUUGGGUAACACUAACUGGAGGACCGAACCGACUAAUGUUGAAAAAUUAGCGGAUGACUUGUGGCUGGGGGUGAAAGGCCAAUCAAACCGGGAGAUAGCUGGUUCUCCCCGAAAGCUAUUUAGGUAGCGCCUCGUGAAUUCAUCUCCGGGGGUAGAGCACUGUUUCGGCAAGGGGGUCAUCCCGACUUACCAACCCGAUGCAAACUGCGAAUACCGGAGAAUGUUAUCACGGGAGACACACGGCGGGUGCUAACGUCCGUCGUGAAGAGGGAAACAACCCAGACCGCCAGCUAAGGUCCCAAAGUCAUGGUUAAGUGGGAAACGAUGUGGGAAGGCCCAGACAGCCAGGAUGUUGGCUUAGAAGCAGCCAUCAUUUAAAGAAAGCGUAAUAGCUCACUGGUCGAGUCGGCCUGCGCGGAAGAUGUAACGGGGCUAAACCAUGCACCGAAGCUGCGGCAGCGACGCUUAUGCGUUGUUGGGUAGGGGAGCGUUCUGUAAGCCUGUGAAGGUGUGCUGUGAGGCAUGCUGGAGGUAUCAGAAGUGCGAAUGCUGACAUAAGUAACGAUAAAGCGGGUGAAAAGCCCGCUCGCCGGAAGACCAAGGGUUCCUGUCCAACGUUAAUCGGGGCAGGGUGAGUCGACCCCUAAGACGAGGCCGAAAGGCGUAGUCGAUGGGAAACAGGUUAAUAUUCCUGUACUUGGUGUUACUGCGAAGGGGGGACGGAGAAGGCUAUGUUGGCCGGGCGACGGUUGUCCCGGUUUAAGCGUGUAGGCUGGUUUUCCAGGCAAAUCCGGAAAAUCAAGGCUGAGGCGUGAUGACGAGGCACUACGGUGCUGAAGCAACAAAUGCCCUGCUUCCAGGAAAAGCCUCUAAGCAUCAGGUAACAUCAAAUCGUACCCCAAACCGACACAGGUGGUCAGGUAGAGAAUACCAAGGCGCUUGAGAGAACUCGGGUGAAGGAACUAGGCAAAAUGGUGCCGUAACUUCGGGAGAAGGCACGCUGAUAUGUAGGUGAAGUCCCUUGCGGAUGGAGCUGAAAUCAGUCGAAGAUACCAGCUGGCUGCAACUGUUUAUUAAAAACACAGCACUGUGCAAACACGAAAGUGGACGUAUACGGUGUGACGCCUGCCCGGUGCCGGAAGGUUAAUUGAUGGGGUCAGCGCAAGCGAAGCUCUUGAUCGAAGCCCCGGUAAACGGCGGCCGUAACUAUAACGGUCCUAAGGUAGCGAAAUUCCUUGUCGGGUAAGUUCCGACCUGCACGAAUGGCGUAAUGAUGGCCAGGCUGUCUCCACCCGAGACUCAGUGAAAUUGAACUCGCUGUGAAGAUGCAGUGUACCCGCGGCAAGACGGAAAGACCCCGUGAACCUUUACUAUAGCUUGACACUGAACAUUGAGCCUUGAUGUGUAGGAUAGGUGGGAGGCUUUGAAGUGUGGACGCCAGUCUGCAUGGAGCCGGCCUUGAAAUACCACCCUUUAAUGUUUGAUGUUCUAACGUGGACCCGUGAUCCGGGUUGCGGACAGUGUCUGGUGGGUAGUUUGACUGGGGCGGUCUCCUCCUAAAGAGUAACGGAGGAGCACGAAGGUUGGCUAAUCCUGGUCGGACAUCAGGAGGUUAGUGCAAUGGCAUAAGCCAGCUUGACUGCGAGCGUGACGGCGCGAGCAGGUGCGAAAGCAGGUCAUAGUGAUCCGGUGGUUCUGAAUGGAAGGGCCAUCGCUCAACGGAUAAAAGGUACUCCGGGGAUAACAGGCUGAUACCGCCCAAGAGUUCAUAUCGACGGCGGUGUUUGGCACCUCGAUGUCGGCUCAUCACAUCCUGGGGCUGAAGUAGGUCCCAAGGGUAUGGCUGUUCGCCAUUUAAAGUGGUACGCGAGCUGGGUUUAGAACGUCGUGAGACAGUUCGGUCCCUAUCUGCCGUGGGCGCUGGAGAACUGAGGGGGGCUGCUCCUAGUACGAGAGGACCGGAGUGGACGCAUCACUGGUGUUCGGGUUGUCAUGCCAAUGGCACUGCCCGGUAGCUAAAUGCGGAAGAGAUAAGUGCUGAAAGCAUCUAAGCACGAAACUUGCCCCGAGAUGAGUUCUCCCUGACCCUUUAAGGGUCCUGAAGGAACGUUGAAGACGACGACGUUGAUAGGCCGGGUGUGUAAGCGCAGCGAUGCGUUGAGCUAACCGGUACUAAUGAACCGUGAGGCUUAACCUUACAACGCCGAAGGUGUUU